AUGGUUCUUCUCGCGAUCCAGCGGAGCUGCCAAUGAGACGACUCCCGUGGAAGAAAUAGUGAAUUUGUCGUCAGCGAUGCCCGUUGGAAUAUCGAAAGUAACAUUAACUGGAAAUAAAAAAGUAGAGGGCGUCGGGUGAGCUAACAAAAAGAUGGAAGCUUGCACGUGCGUGGAUUUCCUUACCGGCCAAGGUGAAGGAUUCAAGCAAUUAUAAAACCACCUAGCUUGUGAUUCGACUCAUCUUCUUCAUACCACCGCUACCAAGGGACUUCCGAGAUAAGAAUGCCUGGGAAUUUUUUGCAACACUGAAUUCCUAGCGAGUUUCAACUUAGCGGAUAGAUGGCUAUUAGUUUUGCUGUCAUGGACAUUUGUUUCAGGUGUAAACAUGUUUUUUUCUGUGUAAAUCGAGAAUCUGAAGAGUUAAUUUCGAUAAAGAAGAUAUUAAAUUGAUAUUUAACACAUUUUUCCGCAUUAAUUUUGAGCUAGAAGCCUUGAAAUAAUGUAUGAUUUAAAUUUUAGCUUCGUGAUGAGUGACUACGACAAAAUGGCAGAGGGAAUCAAAAUGGUGGAGUCA